CUAGGAAUAUUGGACAAUGGGCGAAAGCCUGAUCCAGCAACACCGCGUGGAGGACGAAGGCCUUCGGGUCGUAAACUCCUUUUUGGGGGGAUGAGAAAGGACAGUACCCCCAGAAUAAGGCCCGGCUAACUACGUGCCAGCAGCCGCGGUAAUACGUAGGGGCCAAGCGUUAUCCGGAUUUACUGGGCGUAAAGCGCAUGUAGGCGGUUGACUAAGUCGGAUGUGAAAGCUCCUGGCUUAACUGGGAGAG
rnacentral:rRNA from 1 species